rfam:Ictidomys tridecemlineatus contig117359, whole genome shotgun sequence.
GGGGGUGUGGCUGAGUGGUAGAGGGCAUAUCUACCACAUAUGAAGCCCUGGGUUCAAUUCCCAGCACCACCA